rnacentral:rRNA from 4 species
ACUUUGCGAUGGAUCACUUGGCUAUUGUGACGAUGAAGAACGUAGCAAGUUGCGAAAAGUAAUGUGACAUGCAAAACUCGUGAAUCAUCGAAUUUUCGAACAUAUCCAAUGCUUCUCUCUUCUACGGAAUUGCGAAGCGCUUACU